UGUGGAGUCCUGUGUGCUUCCCACAGUCGUUCACAACGGCAGAACUGACACGUUGGAUGUGGCACCUACUGAAGAGCCAUCGUUGCUUGUUUACUAUAAUACAGUGAAACACCAAUGCAAUAAUCAAAAUGGAAUAAGAGAUUUGCAGGCUGGAACACCACUUGGUUUAAUGGCUUAUUUAUAUUCUAGAAAUGCAUUUUUGGAAGGUUACGUACAGCAGUUUCUCUACACUUUUCGUUAUUUCUGCACACAAGAAGAGUUUUUGCAGUUUCUUCUUGAAAGAAUCAGCAGCACUUUAUCCAGUGCAAGUCUGGACCCUUCCACAUCAUUUACCAAAAUAUGUAAUCGCAGUUUCUACAUCCUGCAGGCUUGGAUUGAAGACUGCUACAGUGUAGACUUUGCAACAAAUACUGAUCUUUUGUAUACUCUGAAAGAGUUUAUUUCUUC